UUUUUUGUUUGUUUGCUUGGGGUUUUUGUUUUGUUUAAUUGCUUUAAAAACACCAAUUCAAGCUUCGCUCUCAAAAAAUUUCUAGUGUCUCGACUCCUUCACUUUUCUACUCAAUACAUUUUAUACUGUAACUGUUUUUUAUCCUUCCAGUGGCACUAUUUUCAGUUUACUUUAUUUAACAUAAAAGCCACAAAAUCAAAGACUCAAAGAACUUAGCCUUCUUCCUUAUGUAUAUAAUGUAAUGAUAUGACUCUAAAAGUUCUUUCAAUUGUUUCAGCAAUUUAAAUACACACACACCCACCCCCCCCCCAAGGUCUCUUAUAUAGCACCAUCUUUACACUGUAACUGCACUUCUCACUACAGCCUGUGCCUGCAUGGUUUGAGCUGAGGAAGUAAUUGGCAGAUUCAACAGGAUCUUGAUUGACUGAGGGGAAUAAAACCCCACACCUCCUAUUUUACAGACAGCAAAAGAAUGUAACCAAGACCAGAGUUCCCAGAACCCAGACUGGCAGAGACUGCCCUAUCCCCACUGCCCAGUCCCUCAGCUGUUCAGUUUCCCCUUUGCUGAUUCCUUCACCAACCCUGCAGCCACCACCUCAGCAGCUGGCUUCAUCCACCCAUCUCCUGAUCCGAGCCUGCCCUAUUCCUAUCUCCUGCACCUAAGACACUUCCCGGAAAGCACCUGUACCUUCCAUUUCACCUUCACAAAAACAAUUUCAGAAAAAUUUAGCCUAAGGCUGACUCCUGGCACAGAGAAUUUCAGAGUGAGCAGUUAUGUUUUGACACUUGUGAACCACUGAAAACAGGCUUGUAAAGAAAACGUUUGAGUAACCUUCUCUGUCAGCAAAACCAUUGGAGCUACCUGGAAACCAUAAGAACUGUGUCUUCAGAAGCUCAUUAAGUUUUGUGUUGCCCCAUGGAAGCAUUGGGACACAACUGUUGCCACAGCUCCUAAAAGCAUAUGUAUAUGUAUAUAUACGUAACUAUGUACACAUAGACAAAUUUCAUAAAUAAAA
rnacentral:lncRNA from 1 species